UGCGCGAGGUUCGGGUCCAUUGGCUGGAGACUCCGCUGGAGCGCGGCCGGGAGGCCUGGCCCCAGAGCGGGCCUGGCCCCUCGCGAGCCCGCCGGGCUCUGGGCGGAGCACGGAGCGUGGGCCUCUUCCUCCAGGCAGACCUCCUACAGGGAAAGCAGAGAGGAUGAAAGCCUAUCUAAAGAGCGCAGAAGGCUUCUUUAUCCUGAACAAAAGUACUACAAUUGGAAGGCACAAGGACUCAGACCUUGUUUUAGAGUCGGCGGACAUCGACAACCAUCACGCGCUCAUCGAAUAUAACGAGGCCGAGGGCAGCUUCGUCCUCCAGGACUUCAAUUCCCUCCACGGCACCUUCGUCAACGAGUGCCACAUUCAGAACGUGGCUGUGAAGCUGUUGCCCGGAGACAUCCUGCGGUUUGGGUCUGAAGGGCUGACCUACGAACUCGUCAUCGAAAACGCACCCUCAGCCUCCUUCCCGUGGGUGAGGGGCCCAGCGCCUUGGCCAAAGCCACAGCCCCCUCAGGCCGCACAGCAGCCGAACCAGUCGCCCUUUCCGCCACGGAUGCCCUUCCACCCCGGCAUCUGGCCAACGCCAGUGCAGAAGAGCUGGUCGCAGGGCUUCCCCCGGCCCACCCGGGCCCCGCCCGCCUCCCACAAGCGGCCAGUGAGUGCCAGCGGGAAGAUGUUCUCCUUCGUGGUGGAUGGCACCUACCCAUCGCCCAUCAUUAGGCAAGUGUGGACCAACGCCGAUGAACUGUCGGAGCAGUCGGGGGCCGGGGGCCUUCCCGGGGCAGGCCCUUCCGUGGAGGUUUAUGUGGACCAGGACCUGGGCCCGCAGGACAAGGACGAGCUGAUUCUGCUGCUGGGGAAAGAGAUCACCCGCCUCUCGGAUUUCGAGCUCGAGUCCAAGUACAAAGACGCCGUGAUCUUCAGCCUGCAGACCGAGCUGGCCAGCCUGAGCCAGAAGCUGCUGGACGCCACCGCCUCCAGGAGCGAGCGGGCGGCCUCGCAGAAGUUUCCGGGUUCGGGUGAAGACGUCGACGACCCACAGAGAGAGAUCCAGAACCUGAAAAGCCAGGUCAGUGCCCUACAGAAGGGCUACAGCCAGGUGCUGUGCCAGACCCUGUCGGAGAGGAACGUGGAGAUCACAUCCCUGAAGACCGAGGGCGAGAACUUGCGGAGGGACAACGCCAUCACGGCAGGGAUGGUGUCCUCUUUGCAAAAAAACAUGUUAGUGAAGGAGGAGCAAGUUCAGCAGCUCCAGCAGGAGGUGAACCAGCUCCAAAGCGAGAACAAAGAGAAGGAGCACCAGCUGGAAGCCCUCAGCUCCAGGUGCUCCGUGCUCAAAGAGGAGCUGAAAAAGGAAGAUGCUCAGAGGGAGCAGCAGGAAGCCCAAGAGAAAGAGCUGAAACUCUGCAAAUCCCAAAUCCAAGACAUGGAGAAAGAAAUGAAGAAGCUCAGGGAGGAGCUGAAGAAGAGCAGCGCUGAGCAGGUCACGAUCUCCAAGACGCUCCGAGAGAAGAGCAAGGUUGAAGAGAAGCUUCAGGAGGAUUCCAGGAGGAAAUUGCUUCAGCUGCAAGAAAUGGGGAACAGAGAGAACCUCAUUAAAGUCAAUUUGGAAAGGGCAGUAGGUCAGCUGGAGCACUUCCGGAGCCAGGUCAUCAAGGCCACCUACGGGCGCGCGAAGCCGUUUCAGGACAGACCCGUCACUGACCAACAGUUACUCGAGAAGAUUACCCAGGUCACCGAGGACAGCAUCAGCUUCCAGCAGAGGAAAUGGAGCCUGCAGGAGAUGCAGCUCAGCAGUCGCAAGCAGGAGGAGCUCACAGAGAACGUCGAGAAGCUGAAGAUGGCCCUAGACAGCUGCCAGGCUUGCGUGCAAAUGCCGUGCUGCAGCAAGGACCUGAAGAAGGAGGUGGACCGUCUUCAGUGCCUGCAGGUGAGCCCACCGGUUUCCGGGCUCCAGAAGGUGGCGCUGGACACGCUGCGCCUGCUGCAGAGCUGGCUGGAGGACACCGAGAGGCUCCUCCGCGAUGUUGGGAUCCAGCUCUCCGGCUCCGACAAAGGAUUGUCUUUGUAUCUGAAAUAUCUUCUGGAACAUUAUAAAAAAAUCACGAUCCGGACCGAGGAACUUCAGGUCAAGAUCAGCAGUUCUCAGGAAACCCAGAAGUCUCUGCUGCAAGAAAAGCUGCGGGAGCAUCUGGAAGAGAAGGAGAAGCUGAAUGAGGAGAGGCUACAGCAAGAGGAGAAGCUGACAGCCAGAGUCAAGUGGCUGAUGGAAGAAAAGGAGGUUUUGGAGGAAAGAAUUACUCAGGAGAAAAACAGAGCGAAAGAAGCAUUAGAGGAAGAACAGAGGAAAGUCCAGGAGCUGGAGAAUCGCUUAACCCACCAGAAGAAGGCUUUGGAGGAAAGCUUUCUUCAAGAGAAAAGCAGAGUGAAGGAAGCAUUAGAGGAAGAACAGACCAGAGUCCAAGAGCUGGAGAAUCGCUUAACCCACCAGAAGGAGGCUUUGGAGAGCAGCAUGGCCCACGAGAGGAAGGCGAAGGAAGCCUUAGAGGCGGAAAAGAGGCGAGUUCAAGACCUGGAGAACCGCUUGACCCAGCAGAAGGAGAUCCUAGAAAGCAGCAUCGCCUACGAGAAACAGAAAGCGAAGGAGGCCAUCGAGAAGGAAAGGAGAAGGGCGCAGGAUCUGGAGAACCGCCUGACCAAGCAGAAAGAGGAGAUCGAUUUAAAAGUGCAAAAAGAAGACGCUUUAAAUAAUAAAUUAAAUGACGCCCUGGCCGAGGUAGAGGAGACUCAGAAAACAAAGGCGGCCGAGAGCCUGAGAGCGGAGAGCCUCGGCAUGAAACUGAGUGAAACUUUGACGGAGCUGGAAACCGCCAAGACGAAAAUGGUCAUGAUGGAGGGGCGGAUACAGCUGCAGCAGCAGACGAUCAAGGCCCUCCAGGAAGAACAAGAAUCGCAGAAACGUGGGUUCGAGGAGGAAAUCAUGGAAUACAAGGAGCACAUCAAACAGCACUCCCAGACGAUCGUGAGCCUGGAAAAGAGACUCAGAAAAGUGACCGAACACCACAAGAAAAUAGAAGGAGAGAUCGCAACUUUAAAGGACAAUGACUCAGCCCAGGAGAAGGAGGCCCAGCAGGACCGUCCGGCAGGGCCCCCGCUGGAGACCGGGGCCAAAGACGCAGUGUCUGACCACUUGAUAGAGGACUUGCUGAUGGCGCAGAAGGAGAUCCUGUCCCAGCAGGAGGUCAUCAUGAGCUUAAGGAAAAACCUGUCCGACGCCCACGGCCGAAUGUCAGAUCUGAGAGGGGAGCUCAACGAGAAGCAGAAGCUAGAACUGGAGAGGAACGUGGCUCUGGUCCAACAGCAAAAGAACGAACUGAGUGCGCUCAAGGAAAAGAUGGCUCAGAUGACCGGCCUGGUGGAGAGGAAGGACAGGGAGCUGCAGGUGCUCAAGGAGGCAUUCAGAGCCUCCCGGGAGGAGCACAGACUCCAGCCGCACAAGGACAAGCAGCAGAAGCCCAGGAGCGCGGCCCAGAUGCGUGACAUCUCGGUGCAGAUAGAGCCGGUCCGCACCAACGCUUUCCUGAGCAGCCAGGAGGAGCAGUCCUUCAGUGACCUGGGGGUCAAGUGCAAAGGGUCGCGACACGAGGAAGUCAUUCAGCGUCAGAAAAAGGCCCUGUCUGAACUGCGGGUGCGGAUCAAGGAGCUCGAGAAGGCCUGCUCGUCGAAUCAUAAGGAUCACCUGGAAGAAUCGUGUCUAGACUUAAAGACUCUCAGAAUGGAGAAAAAUGUCCAGAAACUAUUGAAGGCAAACCCCGUUUGGCCCACUCUCUCAAGAACAGAGAUCCAAGAGGCUCAGAACGGCCUUGCCAACCUGGGCACCGAGAAGCCGGGGAAGAUGGACGUGGCGGAGGCUUUGGAGCUCAGUGAAAAGCUGUACAUGGAUCUGAGCAAAACGCUCGGGAGUCUGAUGAACAUCAAGGACAUGGCAGGUCACGUGUCCAUGAAACACCUCUCCCCCAAAGAGAGGGAGAGGGUCAACCAGCUCCGACAGAGGGACCUCGACCUGGUGUUUGAUAAGAUCACCCAACUCAAGAGCCGGCUGGAGAGGAAGGAGGAGCUUUUGAGAGGAUACGAGAAGGACAUUGAGCAGCUCAGGCAGAGCAAAGUGUCCGUUCAGAUGUACCAGUCACAGGUGGCAAAGCUGGAGGACGACGUCUACAAGGGGACCGAGGAGAAGGCGCUGCUGAAGGAGGCCCUGGAGCGCACGGAGCAGCAGCUGCGCCAGGAGAAGAGGCUCAACAGGGCCAUGAGGCAGCACAAGGAACGUUUAGAGGAUCGUGAACAGAAAAAUGCCAAAGAAUCAGCACCGUGCAACUGUCCCUUCAAAGAGAAAGAGAGGCAGAGGCGAGUGUUUGUAGAGGCAGUGAAGAACACGAUGCAGAACUCACACUCGCAGGUGGGAGCCAGGAAGGCCACCCCAAAGAUGGACCAAGAAGGACAGAUGCUGAAGAGAGGCCCUUCCAGCAAAUCCAGCCAGAAUCUUCUGUUCCUUAAGCCCGGUGGAAGGAGCUAGACAGGGCAUCCUGCCGGCCCUGCAUGAUCCUCUGUGAGUCAGCGUGACUCCUCUGUGUCAAAAUACUGAGACGCUUUCGUAGGACUUGAAAGGCUGCCGCCCCAGCACGGUGCCCCUAGACCGGUGUUGUGCACAGUGCCGUGUUUUGGCUUGUGGGGCCUAAGGGGUUCUUUUAAAAAAUACCUAACAAUGUACACAGACGCGGGCAUAGGAAGAGUGCAGGAUUGAGAUGCAGAUUCCUGGGUCUAGAUGCGUUUCUGUGGUUCCACAUUUGAGUCAUGACAUACCCAUUGUCACCACCAAGGAGCCCCAAGAAACCCACAGUUAAGAAAACCCAAGACUGCUACUCGGGGCCACAGGUCAGAAGGUGAACCUCAGGAAUGGUGGGGCUAUGGGACAGUGCAUUGCUAUCUGAGGUUAUUAUAACACACUUAAAACGCCAAUCAGGUGUAUCACUUCCAUGAUAAUGAGCACUUAUGUGGCACUCUGCAGCCUUCGGAACACUCCUCAUCGAUCCCUCGCCCGAGCCCUGGGAGGUAAAGAGUGUUAUGUUCUCCAUGUAACAGAUGAGGAAGCUGAGGCCCAGAGAGGUUAAGUGGCCUAUCUAAAACCAAACAGCUGGCCCAUUCAAGAGCUGGGUCUGGAACCCAGGUUUCUACUUGCAUUUCAUACUGCUCGUUCUGCUACAUCCCAAUGGCCUGGGGGGAGCGAGUCCCAAGCCAUCAGGACAGACCAAGCAUGCAGGCACCAAAGAGCACACGCUGGCCAGGCAGACACGGCCCUUUGCACGGUGUGUGCAGAGGCCUCGUCUCCCGUGUGCCGCCCUCUCUCCAGCCAGCUGUCCUCUCACUGCCUCUCGUGUGUGGCCAGGGCCGCCCAGCAAAAUGGGAAGAAGAACCAGGCUAUCAUUUCCUUUUUUUUUUUUCAAAAGCCACAAUAAAAAUAUUUUCAUAUUUCAAAGACAAACACAUUCUUUAUACUGAUUAAAACUAGAAGGAAGUAGAUUUUCUUUGUGUGACAUUCCACUGAAGGGCCAUAAUAAACACAGGGCCAAGCCCUGAAGCCAGUGAGAAAGACUUGGGAGCUGGAGCAGCCAUCUGGGAUCACCAGGCCACACGCCAGAGGCCGAAGGCCCACCUCCGAGGAAAAUGGAACGGAAAGACGAGAAGGGCCUGGGCGGCACCCCUGUGCCCGGCUCCAUGCCCAACUGCCUACCUCUGUACCUCUUGUUGUGGAAGACAAAUAAUUCCUUCCUGUUUAAGUCACUAUA